rnacentral:rRNA from 1 species
UACGUAGGGUGCAAGCGUUAAUCGGAAUUACUGGGCGUAAAGCGUGCGCAGGCGGUUUUGUAAGUCUGAUGUGAAAUCCCCGGGCUCAACCUGGGAAUUGCAUUGGAGACUGCAAGGCUAGAAUCUGGCAGAGGGGGGUAGAAUUCCACGUGUAGCAGUGAAAUGCGUAGAGAUGUGGAGGAACACCGAUGGCGAAGGCAGCCCCCUGGGUCAAGAUUGA